CUUCCUGUUUGGGGGCAGAAACUUCUAAUAGCCCCAGAAACUCAGCACUCAGGCAUUCACAGGAAGGCUGCUUUCUGGGCUUGAGUGAGCGUGAGAGAAAUUUCAUCCAGGAGAAGAGUUUCUAUCAUGCUCUGCCCUGGCCUGCUGUGGACUUUCCUGGCCUCCUUUGGCUUCAGAUCCAGCAUGGCUCAGAAAGUAACCCAAGCUCAGACCGUAAUAACAGGGAAGGAAAGCGAAGCUGUGACCAUGGACUGCAAGUAUGAAACCAGUUGGAGUAGACAUCACUUGCACUGGUACAAACAGCCUCCCAGUGGAGAGAUGAUUUUCCUUAUUUAUCAGGAUACUGAUAAGCCAAGUGCAAAGCAGGGUCGCUUCUCUGUGAACCUUCAAAAGACGAAAAAAAUCAUCAGCCUCACCAUCUCUUCUUUGCAACUGGCAGACUCAGCAACAUACUUCUGUGCUCUGGAGGAUCCCACAGUAACAGAAAUGACUGUGGAAGACAAUCAAAAACCUUAGAGCUCCGUAAAGGAA